AUGGUCAUUGAUCUAAGCUUUUACAAAACGUAUAACACUACAUCAACGGAAAAGAAUGGAUUCUGUAAUGACGGGAAACACAACCGAUAGGAUUAACAAUGCAUUGGCAGCACUGAGGAGUGAAAUGCUUGACCUCAGACAACAAGAUGGCCAAAUGAUGAAACAGCUUAUUUGUAUCAACGAAAACAUUAAAACUUUGUCGAAGAGGUCGAAUCCUUGCAGACCAAUACGAAAGAGAUUUUCUUUGGUGAAAGGACGAAGGAAGUUCAUCAAUCCAAAUGAAUCCAUUCCAGAAGAAGAUUCUAGUUCUGCAGAUUCCGACAGUGACGACAGCGUUUCUGGUACAGAGAACUACCAAUGAUGGAGGAACCUGGUAGCGGUCACACGACACAUCUUCAAAUGAAUCCAUCCUUAAGUGGAGUCAAUCUGUUCGCUUAAAUGAAAGGACGGAACCAAUCCGAACGAGGAACUCUCUAGCUUUGAAGAAUCUUCUAGCUAACAGACAUGGCCGAUCGCGAUCUGGAAUCCAUGACGACAUUUAGGUUUCCGUACCGGAUCUGUGCAUCACACCGAGGAUUCUCGCCAAUAUCUGACACUGUUUGGACACCACAAUGUCAUAGUUUAAAAACACAGAGGGCAUUGAAGCAGCACUGAAUCGUGGUUUAAUACUGUGGAAGAACUCAGUCUGGACUUAAAUCGCUGUUGUCACACAGCAUACCAGUUUUCUGAAUCAGGCCAUUAUAUUACGGUGUUUUACUGUGGAACAUACAUUAUCUGAAAGAAGUUUAUGUUCAAAUCGCGCUGUUUAGGAUAUGGUUAUUUCUUUCAUAUCUGACAAUGACUUUUAAACUUUGUGUUCGCUCUCAAUGUCUAAAGAGCGAAAAGCGUAAACACCUGAGUCUUUCUUAUAAUAUACUUUUGUGUUCGUAUUAUGUUGAUGUAUUUAACAGUGCAUCAGAGGAAAAUAGUAAACGAAGAACAUUUGUAUAUUAAGUGUGAAGUGCACCAACUAUAUAUAAUUAUGCGCAUUAAUUGGAAUAAGAAUAUGUGUUUGCGUCAUGAAUUUCAAUGCGUAGGUGUGAGAAAAUAAUGACAGUAAGGAUGUGAUGGCCAGACAGAGGCAAUAGGGCAUAUUGUAAUUAUUUGUAAACCGAAAAAAUAAA